AGAGUAAAGAUUUUGGUUUCUGGUGGGCUGUUGAUGAUGAUCCAUAAGAGAUGGAAUAACAAGUGUUUUUUCUUUAUUAUUUAAAUUUGAGAGAGAAAGAAGCCAAGAAGGGAUAUAUUAUUGCAGUUGUUAAUUAAUUGGUAACGAAAGUAGGAGAAUUAGGGUUCAUGCGAUGGUGGAUUUGCACUCAUCUUUUUUUAGGAAUCUAUUUAUCUGAGAUCAUGAAGGAUUAUAAAGAAGGGCAAUCCAUCUUUACUACCACUACCACUACCACGUUCAUUGCAGGUCUUAGCCUAUUCUCUCUCUCUCACACACUCUUUUAUAUACUAAUAAUAAUGGUAAUUACAAAAAAGGAAUCCCUCCCUCUUUUUAAUUUUUUUAAUAAUAAAUAAUGAUAAUGUGUUCUGUUAUUAGUGACUCGUGUCGUGUAAUCACCAUAUUAAUUAUCGAAAUAAAACCAGCACUGAGCUGCUGGACCCAGCCGAGUCAGGUACUCAGAUCAGGUAAAAACGACAUCGUGUUUAUUUUUAAACUGCAGUGGUAGCCAUCCUGAUCUUCCUUCAACUUGGACAAGGCAGAGAGAGAGAGCAGUUGAGUGAGUGUAGAGAAGAAAGAGAGAAAAUGAAAUGAGUCUGCAAAUGUGUAAGAUUCGAUUUGAAAGAAAUAGAUAGCUGGUUGAAUGGGAUAGAUAUUGGUCCUCACCCUAAUGAUUAUUUACACAACAUAACCUGAAGCCCAAAGGUGGAGCUGCUCAACCGAAACACUCCUCUGUAUUUCAACAUCUUGGGUCACUUCCCCCCCCCCCCCCUCUUUCUCUUCCACUUUGGGGGGAUUUAUUAGUAAACAAGUAUUACCAAAUGGGUUUGGUUUAGUUUUCGGAAUCAUUUAGCAUACUUCUUGCUUAUGCAUGCUUAUGUACUGUUUGAAGUAAUGUAAUUUGGAAAUUGGAAAUUUGGAAAUUUCUUUUCUUAAACCCGUAGAGCUUUGCUACAACUUAACUUUUGAAAAAAAGUUACUAUUCUUGUGAAAAGAGUGCAAGAAAAGUUUCUAACAUGCUCUAUAUCCCAUUUAAGGGUUCUAUUUGUACAUUAAGACUAUGAAUAUAUUGAAUCUUUUGUAUUUGUACCAUAUGGAGACGGGCAUACCAUAGACAAUGCUGACUGCAUUAUCAAGUUGAUUUGGCUUUAUUACAUUGUAUGGUUUUAGCAUUCUUGAUGGUUAACCUUGUAACUUUUUGAGUCAUUUGUUGCAUCUGAUUUUUAUGGAUGACCAGAAAGACCACGAUUUGUGAAUACAGAAGCAUGUAGUGUGGAAGGUUGUGACUCUUUUCUUUCUUUUUCCAUUCUGGGACAAUGGGCAUAUUACCAGCUAUUCCAUCCUGGUAUCUGCCGAUCUAUACAAUUGAUUAUUUAUGGGGAAUAUCCUUGCAGCAGUUUUCUUUUCUAACAGUCUUUCUAGCAUUGUUGCUGCUGUCAUUUUGCAGCUUCUGUUGGUACCGGCACUGUGUAGUAUGGUUCAGCAACCAACCUAGUCGAAUAUUUUGGUUCUUCUCAUUUGAAAUGGAAUCGAGGAUUAUUUCUAGCAAGAAAUAUAUCGGGGAAUUGAUGUUUGGUUGGCCGACAAGUCAAGUUUAUGCAAAGCUGGGUCUUUUGAGGUCUAAAUCUCAACAUUUUGACCUAAAAAUGGUGAUUUCUUGAUAAAGGGGAUACAAGCAACAAGAUCCUGGAAUCUAACACUUAAUGUAAACUGAGCAUGGUGCUUCUCUCAUCUCUAUUGAAAGGGAAGCAAUGCUGAGGAUCAUGGGAGUGCAGAAGCAUUCAAGAAGCUACUAUUGAAUGUAAAGAAAAGGUUAUUGCAAGUUGCUGUUCCUAUUUCUUUUCUUUGUUAUGUGUCAAAAGAGGUGAGCUUGAGGUUGAUCCAAGAACACCGAAAGCAAAAGCUUGAUAAGGAAAAAGCUAAGUGGAAUGAAGAAAUAUUUACAUGAUGUUUCUAUAUUUGAACUUUACUGAGUCAUGCAUGGUUGAAUUAUUCUUACAUGACAAAUCCAUUAUACAGGACCAGUCCCUUCAUUCCCUUGAUUGGCCACUGUCUGUAUACCAAUGAUAACAACACUAAUAUGGGGGCCAUCCCACUUGCAGAGCACUAAACAUUGGACAACAUCGCUAGCGGAGGUCAAUGGUAUCUCUCUCAUUUGAAUCUUAAUGGGCCAUGAUAAUCACAUGACAUCGUUAUCGUUCAUUCACACAGGUUGAUCCAUUGUCUCUCUCUUGGUACCUAAAUUGGUAAAAGCCUUUGUUCACAUCUCGGAUUAGCCGCAGACACACUAAUAUGAUACAUGUUUGAGCCUCAAUACUGUUAAUGUCUUGAAUUUUGCUUGGUUGUAAUUGGUUUAGUUACUGAUUAGGGUACUUGAAGUGACCAAGGAAAUAAAUCUUUAAUCAUUUGCCAUCAAGGCUGUCCUAGCACGAGGCGUCUUUUCCAAGGGGAAAAAGGUAUAAAGCAUUUAAGUCGUGGAGAAUUGGUGCUGUGGACAAAAUAAGAAAGUUCAAAGGUGAAAUCAAGUCAACCACUACAAUGCAUGAUCUCCUGUUAGUUUGAUUGCAUGAUUUGGUUACAUGAAGCCUAUCACUUGCCUUAAGUUUGCUGGUAUAAUCGUGUUUGCACGGCCCUAUCAAGUGAUUUCCCUGAACGGAUCCCCAUCCAUUGUGGCAUCGUAUCAGGAGGCAUUUUUCAGCAGUGGCUAAGCGUAGAAACUAAAAUUUUACAAGAUGGAUGAUUAUUAUACCCCUCAUGUUAUUGGAAAUACAACUCAACUAGGACUAGUUGAUCUUGGUUA